CGAGUUGGCCGGGCGGCCGCGGACCGGAAACGGUUCGAGGAAAGUCCGGACUUCACAGAGCAGGGUGAUUGCUAACGGCAAUCCGAGGUGACUCGCGGGAAAGUGCCACAGAAAACAGACCGCCACCGCUGGGCUUCCGGGCACGGCGGCGGUAAGGGUGAAACGGUGCGGUAAGAGCGCACCAGCACCCCGGGUGACCGGGGUGGCUCGGCAAACCCCACCCGAAGCAAGGCCAAGUAGGCCGCACCCGGUGCGGCUGCGCAGGCGUUCGAGGGCUGCUCGCCCGAGCCUGCGGGUAGGCCGCUCGAGGCACCCGGCAACGGAGUGUCCAGAUGGAUGGUCGCCGCCGCGUCGUCAGCAAUGACGGCGCGGAACAGAAUCCGGCUUACAGGCCAGCUCGUCCG
rnacentral:RNase_P_RNA from 1 species